UGUGGCCUUUUCGUAUCCCGACAUUAUAUCCCGUAGCGACUAGGGUGCUCAGUCUGCUAGCAAAUCCAUCCCUAACCUUAAACAUCCGGUUGAAUACGCAGUGAUUCACCAUACAGCAUCCCAGAGUUGCUCAACUAUCGAUGACUGCAAAGAAUAUAUAAAAAAAAUACACAGGCUGCUCACAUCGAAAGUUCAACGAUUGGAUCUGAUAUCGCUUACAACUUUCUUGUGGAUGAAAACGGAAACGUUUACGAAGGAAGAGGAUGGAAUAAAGUUGGCUAUCAUGCUGGUGUAUGGAAAAUUAAUAAAAACAGUAUUGGAAUCGCUGUCAUUGGAAAUUUCAUGACCGAAAAGCCGUCUACAGCAGCCCAGGAUGCUGUAAAGAGUCUGUUGGAAAUGGCUGUAAAUGAAAGAAAGCUUAAUUCCACCUACAAGUGAAAAGUACUACUGAAUGUCCAGGAGAUCAAUUUUAC